rnacentral:rRNA from 1 species
CACGAAGCCGGAAUCGCUAGUAAUCGCAGAUCAGCAUGCUGCGGUGAAUACGUUCCCGGGUCUUGUACACACCGCCCGUCACACCAUGGGAGCCGGGAAUGCCCGAAGUCAGCGGCCCAACCGAAAGGGGGAGCUGCCGAAGGCAGGCCUGGUGACUGGGGUGAAGUCGUAACAAGGUACC